GAUGAACGCUGGCGGCGUGCCUAAUACAUGCAAGUCGAGCGAAUGGAUUAAGAGCUUGCUCUUAUGAAGUUAGCGGCGGACGGGUGAGUAACACGUGGGUAACCUGCCCAUAAGACUGGGAUAACUCCGGGAAACCGGGGCUAAUACCGGAUAACAUUUUGAACCGCAUGGUUCGAAAUUGAAAGGCGGCUUCGGCUGUCACUUAUGGAGGGACCCGCGUCGCAUUAGCUAGUUGGAGAGGUAACGGCUCACCAAGGCAACGAUGCGUAGCCGACCUGAGAGGGUGAUCGGCCACACUGGGACUGAGACACGGCCCAGACUCCUACGGGAGGCAGCAGUAGGGAAUCUUCCGCAAUGGACGAAAGUCUGACGGAGCAACGACGCGUGAGUGAUGAAGGCUUUCGGGUCGUAAAACUCUGUUGUUAGGGAAGAACAAGUGCUAGUUGAAUAAGCUGGCACCUUGACGGUACCUAACCAGAAAGCCACGGCUAACUACGUGCCAGCCGCCGCCGUAA
rnacentral:rRNA from 1 species